rnacentral:rRNA from 1 species
CCCUUAGAUGUUCUGGGCCGCACCCGCGCUACACUGAAGGAGGCAGCGUGUACUCCUGGAUCGAAAGAUUUGGGUAACCCGCGAAUCUCCUUCGUGCUAGGGAUUGAGGUUUGCAAUUAUCCUUCAUGAACGAGGAAUUCCCAGUAAGUGCAAGUCAUAAGCUUGCGCUGACUACGUCCCUGCCCUUUGUACACACCGCCCGUCGCUACUACCGAUUGAAUGAUUUAGUGAGGACUUCGGACUGGGACCGAUGCGGCUUUCGGGCUGCGUCGGUAUUCUGGAAAGAUGUCCAAACUGUAUCAUUUAGCGGAAGUAAAAGUCGUAACA